CCUACGGGAGGCAGCAGUGGGGAAUCUUGCACAAUGCGCGAAAGCGUGAUGCAGCAACGCCGCGUGGGAGAAGAAGGCCUUCGGGUUGUAAAUCCCUUUCAGUUGGGACGAAGCUUCGUCAGUUAAUAGCUGACUGGAGUGACGGUACCUUCAGAAGAAGCCCCGGCUAACUACGUGCCAGCAGCCGCGGUAAUA
rnacentral:rRNA from 1 species